rnacentral:lncRNA from 10 species
GUUACAAAGUGCCGGGAGCCGUGCAGGGCCAGUGAACCCCUCGCUGAGACUCAGUUUGCUGCCAUCACAAGUGCUCUGAGAAUCCUGGAGAGGGAGGAUAUUGGAGACAAACGGGACUGCUGCCCGCCUUUUAGGCGACCGUUGGAGGCUGCUCUGUGCCGGACACAGGCAGGCUCCCACAGCUCAGAAGUCAGCGGAGCAGAGUCCCCAGGAAACCAGGGUCAGGGAUGGAGGCUGCUGAGGAGCGGGUCUGGGAGGUGGAGGCCAGAUACAAGAAAACCACAGUACCAGUAAAUGACAAAGGCUGGAUCUUAACCCAAGUCCUCCGACUCUGAAGGCCAUACCCAACAGCUUGACAGCAAAGUGUUUGAAAACGAAGAGCAGGAAUUCCGCGGUUCCUGCCCGGCCUCGCCAUCCAGCUGGGAGAAGAGCAUGGUCAUUUC